rnacentral:rRNA from 1 species
CAGUCGCCGCGGUAAUGCGUAGGUGGCAAGCGUUGUCCGGAAUUAUUGGGCGUAAAGGGCUCGCAGGCGGUUUCUUAAGUCUGAUGUGAAAGCCCCCGGCUCAACCGGGGAGGGUCAUUGGAAACUGGGAAACUUGAGUGCAGAAGAGGAGAGUGGAAUUCCACGUGUAGCGGUGAAAUGCGUAGAGAUGUGGAGGAACACCAGUGGCGAAGGCGACUCUCUGGUCUGUAACUGACGCCGAGGAGCGAAAGCGUGGGGAGCGAACAGGAUUAGAUACCCCAGUAGUCCCUGUCUCUUAUAU